rnacentral:snRNA from 1 species
GUGCUCGCUUUGGCAGCACAUAUACUAAAACUGGAACAAUACAGAUAAGAUUAGCAUGGUCCCUGUGCAAGGAUGACACGCAAAUUCGUGAAGCGUUCCAUAUUUUU